GGGGUCAGCACAUCCAGAGUGCAUUGGACAAGCCUCUCACCAUGGGAAACCACCUUCAGGAUCAUGGUAUCACUUCUGCCAUUGUCACAGAGGCUUCUCAUUGGGAGACCAGGAGGUGAGACACCACACGCUGUGCUGCUAUCUGUGGGUGUAUGAAGAGUGGAAUGUGCUCUGGAAAUGGAAAGACAUUGUUAUUCAUCCUCCAAGUGACAAUCAAGUGUUCAGCAGCUGGGACUUGCUGAGACACAGCACCAAUAGCUACUUUUGUUGCAUUCCCACAAAAUAUUUGGUAUG